CAGUAGCCGCGGUAAUACGAAGGGGGCUAGCGUUGUUCGGAAUUACUGGGCGUAAAGCGCACGUAGGCGGAUAUUUAAGUCAGGGGUGAAAUCCCGCAGCUCAACUGCGGAACUGCCUUUGAUACUGGGUAUCUUGAGUAUGGAAGAGGUUAGUGGAAUUGCGAGUGUAGAGGUGAAAUUCGUAGAUAUUCGCAGGAACACCAGUGGCGAAGGCGGCUAACUGGUCCAUAACUGACGCUGAGGUGCGAAAGCGUGGGGAGCAAACAGGAUUAGAUACCCGGGUAGUCCCUGUCUCUUAUAC
rnacentral:rRNA from 1 species